rnacentral:tRNA from 1 species
CAAAAUGUAGUAUAACUAAAACAUUUCGCUUACGCCGAAAGAAUGUCCAUGAAAACCGGAUCAUUUUGA